rnacentral:lncRNA from 1 species
UUAAUGGGUCACAUUAGCUAUUAAAUUGGUCGAUUUUGAGACAUUUUCGAUAAUUAGAUAAAUAAUAAUAAAAAAUUAUAAAAUUUGAUAUUUAGAUACUUUUACACUACAACAGAAUUAGAUUAUAGGGACACAUGUUUGGGACACUUUUUAGUAAGUGUCCCAUUUAUACUAAAACUUAAAAACACAUCUACUAAUGCUUAAAUAUAAAGCCCAAUCCAACCAAAAAUAAAAGAUUACUCUACUCAACCCACUACACCCUGUCCAUUUGGCCCGAUUACAAACAGAAAAGAAAAAAAAAUAAAGAAAAAUCAAUUACCUUGUUUUUUUCUCUCUUCACUCAAUCCACUGAAAUUCUAGACGAAGAGGCUUUACUGUCGUCCUCCUCCGCCACUGCAGCCAAUGAGAUAGAGUUUCGGCGGUUGCUAAAUACUUAAAUAAGUGUUGGUAAAUUAGCAGCACUCUUUUAGAUUAUAGCGACACUCUUUAGCUGUCACUAUAUACUUAGCGACCCCACAUAUAGCAACACUUUUUAAAAGUGUCGGUAAUUUUAGCUAGCAGCACUUUUUUAACAUGUACCUACAUUUAAAUGUGUCGCUAUAGACCGUUUUUGUUGUAGUGUUAGUAGUUCUAAUCAUACAUUGAUUCGAUGUUCCAUCACUAAAAACAAAGU